rnacentral:rRNA from 1 species
UACAGAGGAUGCAAGCGUUAUCCGGAAUGAUUGGGCGUAAAGCGUCUGUAGGUGGCUUUUAAGUCCGCCGUCAAUCCCAGGCUCAACUCUGGACAGGCGGUGGAAACUACCAAGCUGGAGUACGGUAGGGCAGAGGGAAUUUCCGGUGGAGCGGUGAAAUGCGUAGAGAUCGGAAGGAACACCAACGGCGAAAGCACUCUGCUGGGCCGACACUGACACUGAGAGACGAAAGCUAGGGGAGCGAAUGGG